GACGAACCGUGCGACCGUUGUUCGGAAUCACUGGGCUUAAAGGGCGCGUAGGCGGGCCGUCCAGUCAGGGGUGAAAUCCUCCAGCUUAACUGGAGAACAGCUUUUGAUACUGACGGCCUCGAGGGGGGUAGGGGCAUGUGGAACUUCCGGUGGAGCGGUGAAAUGCGUAGAUAUCGGAAGGAACGCCGGUGGCGAAAGCGACGUGCUGGACCCUUUCUGACGCUGAGGCGCGAAAGCCAGGGGAGCAAACGGG
rnacentral:rRNA from 1 species